UACGUAGGUGGCAAGCGUUGUCCGGAAUUAUUGGGCGUAAAGCGCGCGCAGGCGGUCCUUUAAGUCUGAUAUGAAAGCCCACGGCUCAACCGUGGAAGGUCAUUGGAAACUGGGGGACUUGAGUACAGAAGAGGAAAGCGGAAUUCCACGUGUAGCGGUGAAAUGCGUAGAGAUGUGGAGGAACACCAGUGGCGAAGGCGGCUUUCUGGUCUGUAACUGACGCUGAGGCGCGAAAGCGUGGGGAGCAAACAGG
rnacentral:rRNA from 1 species